AUUGAACGCUGGCGGCAUGCCUUACACAUGCAAGUCGAACGGCAGCACGGGUGCUUGCACCUGGUGGCGAGUGGCGAACGGGUGAGUAAUACAUCGGAACGUACCUUAUCGUGGGGGAUAACGCAGCGAAAGCUGUGCUAAUACCGCAUACGCCCUGAGGGGGAAAGCGGGGGAUCGAAAGACCUCGCGCGAUUAGAGCGGCCGAUGCCUGAUUAGCUUGUUGGUGGGGUAAAAGCCCACCAAGGCGACGAUCAGUAGCUGGUCUGAGAGGCCGAUCAGCCACACUGGGACUGAGGCACGGCACAGACUACUACGGGAGGCAGGAGUGGGGAAUUUUGGACAAAGGAGGCAACCCUGAUCUAGCAAUGCCGCGUGAGGGAAGAUGGCCUUCGGGUUGUAAAGCUCUUUUGUCAGGGAAGAAACACCGGCUCUAACACAGUCCGGGAAUGACGGUACCUGAAGAAUAAGCACCGGCUAACUACGUGCCAGCCGCCGCGGUAA
rnacentral:rRNA from 1 species